rnacentral:rRNA from 1 species
AGGGUUCGAUUCUGGCUCAGGAUGAACGCUGGCGGCGUGCUUAACACAUGCAAGUCGAACGGAGAACCCCGGAUCGAGUUUCGGACAAGUGAAGGGAAUUCUUAGUGGCGGACGGGUGAGUAACGCGUGAGGAACCUGCCUUGGAGAGGGGAAUAACACAGAGAAAUUUGUGCUAAUACCGCAUAAAGCAGUUGGGUCGCAUGGCUCUGACUGCCAAAGAUUUAUCGCUCUGAGAUGGCCUCGCGUCUGAUUAGCUGGUUGGCGGGGUAACGGCCCACCAAGGCGACGAUCAGUAGCCGGACUGAGAGGUUGGCCGGCCACAUUGGGACUGAGACACGGCCCAGACUCCUACGGGAGGCAGCAGUGGGGAAUAUUGGGCAAUGGGCGCAAGCCCUGACCCAGCAACGCCGCGUGAAGGAAGAAGGCUUUCGGGUUGUAAACUUCUUUUAUGAGGGACGAAGAAAGUGACGGUACCUCAUGAAUAAGCUCCGGCUAACUACGUGCCAGCAGCGGC